GUGAACUCGACCCUCACGUGAACGCGCGUGAGACACUUGACCGGAAGCUUUGUUUUAUAGUUAAAGUUUAAAACAUGAGUAUUUUUCUUACACACACUUAUCGUUUGGCUCCAGAAGACACUGAUUCAUCCACUGGGGUCGUAUGGAUUACAUGAUGGCUGUAUGAACUUUCUGGAGCUCAUUCGCUUGUAUUAUAUGGACUUACAGAGAUGGAUAAUUUUUCUAAAAAUCUUCAUUUAAGUUCAUCUGAAGAAAGAUAGUCAUAUACAUCUGGGAUGGCAUGAGGCUGAAUCAUUGCAGAGUUUAAUCGCUUCACAAGAAAAAGCCUCAAGCAAGAUUUCUUUUCAACACUUGAUCAACAUACAGCUCGUUUUCUGGAAAUUUCUGAAUCAAAGAAGGGGCAGUUGGAAAGAGACUUUCUGAGAUCUUUGAGCAAAUUAAAUCUAUGAGCACUGACAUCACUGCUAAGCACACAGCAGUUCUCCGUGGCCUUCCUCUCAUUCUGGAGAAGAAACCACUGACUUUUUUCAAACACAUUUGGAAAGUAUCCUACAUUUCAUUCCAAAUAAUGCCCACACACAUAUAACCACAUAUAGGCAUGCCUCAUUGAACUCUGUACACUUAACUCUCUUAGCUUGGACCAGAAGCACAAACUCUGCUUUUGAAGUUUUCUUUUUCAUUUCUUUUUGAACUCAGGCCCUUGUACAUUUUGUUGUAUGCAAGUUCCACCUUCAUUGUACAGUUCACUGUUUUGAAUAUAAAUUUAACACGAUAUUUUGAUUCACAACCUUUAUUUAUCUCCAUUAGUUGUACAUAAAGAAGGUGAUGGUCCUGGAUCUUUAAAUGACACAUACAUUUGUGAGGUUUGGAUUUUUAAUGUAACUAGGAUUGUAAUAUUUCUGUUUUUUAUUAGGACUGUGAUUGGGACACACUCCACAUUUCUGACCGUGAUACCUGAAGACAGCCAGGAUUCUCCACAAGCACUGCAUCUGGAGGCUUCGCACAGAGCAAUUAUUCUAGAAGGAGCCAUAGCGAUGGAUGAUCCUGAAAAUCUUCCACAUGCCAUGUGCCGCUUUUUGGGCUGAUAUAUGCACUAAAUUUGGAGAAUCCUCCACAACUAAAGAACAUCUUUGAUUUUAUUCAGAGUGUUUCUUUCCCUUGGACAUAAAUCCCUGAAACCAAAACAGUCACUUAAAAACCUUCUGCUGAUGGAAGUGAAUGCUGUGUGAGAUUGUGUUAAGCUUGUGGUUGCACAAAAGUCAGGAUUCUUGGGUGUUGUGUUUGAAACAGUCACUCGUCAGUCGUAAUUAGUCGCAAUGCACUUGUAUUAUACUGUAAAAGAAAGAUUGUUUUUAGUUGCACUGCACAUUUGAGUUGUGUAAAGAAUUGUUAAUGUUACAUUGAAGAAUAAUGUUUGGCAUUUAGGAAUGUCUGAAUGGCAGUGUUUGGUACAUUGUAGUGCCUGAAGACAAUUGAAGAAAAAUAAAUAAUGUUUUGCUAGAGUUUAGUUGUUGCUUUUUGUCUUAAAUUAAUUUUUGUAGUUCAGCUUACUUGAAAAUUUUAAGGCAAUCAGUUUCCCAAUGUUUUGGUAAUAAUGUGAAAUAAUGAUUUUGAGUCAUCAAUACUUAAUUAGACUUGAUAAACAAGUUUUAUAUGCAAAUUGAGUUAAGUUUUACCAACUAAAAAUUAAUGCGCUACUUUACUUGGAAAUUUUAAGGCAAUCAGUUUCCUUGCUUUUUCUAAGGAAAGUCAACCUAUGACAUUUUACAGUGAAAUUGCUCACACUCAGCUGAGAUAUGGCAAAAAAAAUAAAAAAUCUAGGGCUGAAUAUGAACAUAAAUGAAAAGACAAUAAUGUAUGGAAUAUGUGAGAUAGCCAAAAAUAUAAAAGAUUUUUAUUGGAUUAUAAUGUGGAUUGUUAGGUAUAAAAUGUGGAAAACAAGGUGCACAAUGAUCAGUAAGCAAUGCCAUCUCCCAGCUGAGACGCUUUUUAAACUAAUCUUAAAUGAACUAAAAAGACAAAGGACAAUGGAGCGAAGAUCUAAAAAUAAAUCUCCAUGGUCUUUAUUAAAAAUAUGAUCUCUGUAAAUAUUUAAG